UACGUAGGGGGCGAGCGUUGUCCGGAUUCAUUGGGCGUAAAGGGCAAGUAGGCGGUCCGGUAAGUCCGCUGUGAAAGUCGGGGGCUCAACCCUCGAAUGCCGGUGGAUACUGUCGGGCUAGAGUGCGGAAGAGGCGAGUGGAAUUCCUGGUGUAGCGGUGAAAUGCGCAGAUAUCAGGAGGAACACCAAUUGCGAAGGCAGCUCGCUGGGACGUAACUGACGCUGAGACGCGAAAGCGUGGGGAGCAAACAGG
rnacentral:rRNA from 1 species